UGGGGAAUAUUGGACAAUGGGGGAAACCCUGAUCCAGCAAUGCCGCGUGUGUGAAGAAGGCCUGAGGGUUGUAAAGCACUUUCAGUGGGGAGGAGGAUUGAUAGGUUAAGAGCUAAUUAAUUGGACGUUACCCACAGAAGAAGCACCGGCUAACUCCGUGCCAGCAGCCGCGGUAAUACGGAGGGUGCAAGCGUUAAUCGGAAUUACUGGGCGUAAAGGGUAUGUAGGUGGUUGAAUAAGUUGUCUGUGAAAGCCCUGGGCUCAACCUAGGAAGGUCAGACAAUACUGUUUAACUCGAGUAUGGGAGAGGGUAGUGGAAUUUCCGGUGUAGCGGUGAAAUGCGUAGAGAUCGGAAGGAACACCAGUGGCGAAGGCGGCUACCCUGGCCCAAUACUGACC
rnacentral:rRNA from 1 species